rfam:Ascaris lumbricoides genome assembly, scaffold: ALTE_scaffold0000076
CAGCUCUGGUUUCUUUGCAUUCAACGAGAGAGUCUUUCGCCUUUUACUAAAGAUUUUCUUGCAAAUGAACGCGAAUGAGUGUACCCAAAUUUUUGGAGCCCAGGCUUCCGCCAUGGAC